rnacentral:rRNA from 1 species
UACAGAGGGUGCAAGCGUUGUUCGGAAUUAUCGGGCGUAAAGCGCGUGUAGGCGGCUUUGCAAGUCGGGUGUGAAAGCCCUCAGCUUAACUGAGGAAGUGCGCCCGAAACUGCAAGGCUUGAGUACCGGAGAGGAUGGUGGAAUUCCCCAAGUAGAGGUGAAAUUCGUAGAUAUGGGGAGGAACACCGGUGGCGAAGGCGACCAUCUGGACGGAUACUGACGCUGAGACGCGAAAGCGUGGGUAGCAAACAGG